UACGGGGGGAGCAAGCGUUGUUCGGAUUUACUGGGCGUAAAGGGCGCGUAGGCGGCCAGCGCAAGUCAGUUGUGAAAUCUCCGGGCUUAACUCGGAACGGUCAACUGAUACUGCGCGGCUAGAGUGCAGAAGGGGCAACUGGAAUUCUCGGUGUAGCGGUGAAACGCGUAGAUAUCGAGAGGAACACCUGCGGCGAAGGCGGGUUGCUGGGCUGACACUGACGCUGAUGCGCGAAAGCCAGGGGAGCGAACGGG
rnacentral:rRNA from 1 species